ACUUUGAAGCAAAGGUUUUCUUUGAGUAAUAGUGUAAUCGAAUUUGAUAAUCAGCUAUCAAUGUAUCUGAACAACAGUUACACAAAGUAUUUCUUAUAUAAGAUGGUAAUCACCAGCAGACUGUACAUAACAUGCCUGCUCUAGAUCACAAUACCAAAACAGGAAGAUAAAUAAUUCUACUGACUGCUACCUCAUUUAAAUGAGUCAGACAGGCUUGACAUGCUAAAUUGGUGGAUAAAAACGACUGCUCCGUAUGGGAGGGCUGGUUUGUACUUCUACAACAUUUCUGAUGAGUACUAGCAAGACAACAAAAUGCUUUUCAACAAGACAACACAUUUCAAAACCAGGCCCUAAGUGAAAGUAACUGGGUACCAUGUCAAGGUAGAAUUCUGGAUAUGGUAGGCUGUGCUCCCAAAUAGUUAGCCCCUGCCACACAUCCAUCCCCAUAAUGACAUGGUUUCCCCCAGUGGGAGUGUCACUGAAAGUGUAUAAGAUUCAGCCCUCUGAAUACUGAGUUAGUCAAAUCAAUUUGUCUGCGUUUGACCUGCAGUCACUUCCAAACUACAAGUUGGAAUCCCUGUGUGAGACCUGGCACCGCGUGCCAACAGCAUCCCCUCUACUGUGCCUGAGGUGGAGACAGGCUUCAGAGAUGCCUUGGCUGUCACCUGCAAUCACGGGUGAUUGCCUGCAGCUGUCGGUUCCCUUUCGGAACUGGCCACACCCCUCUUUCAAUCUCUCUCUCACACUGCAACUGCUUACCUGGCGGCAGGACAAGCACCUUGCUCUCCACUUACCUUUUCCCCUAUACUUAAUAAAUAUAUAUACUGGUUAACUUAAGGUAUUUGUGUCUGUGUUCUCCUUAUGUUGCUUCCCAAGAGCCGGGUCGUAACACAACUAACUCACGUCCACUCUGUAAGCCUGGACCACGUUCAAAUCAGAUAGUCGGUCCCUUGAGUACCUCAGUUGUGAAGAAAGUGCAAAAUGUAAAACUCCCAAAAGCACGU
ensembl:lncRNA